rfam:Lottia gigantea unplaced genomic scaffold LOTGIsca_68, whole genome shotgun sequence.
GAGCGUGUGUCAGGUUGACACUUCUAUACAUUGAUCGCUGACUAUCGGCCGAUCUGUACAGUUAGGUUGUCCCUCUUCGUACACACAUUCUAUACACUGGGAUUCUCGAUGCCUCGCGCUCGAUUGAGUCUCGUAUAAAUUAAUAGGGUUUAUAUGUUUCAUUCCGGCUUCUCAUCCCUGAAGUUGGGGGUUACUCGUCCACAUUUCUGACGCUCUAUCACGGCACUGUAAGUGACAGUCUGCCCUCCUUU